CAACUUGAGAGUUUGAUCCUGGCUCAGAGCGAACGCUGGCGGCAGGCUUAACACAUGCAAGUCGAAGGUGAAGCAGGACUUCGGUUCUGUGGAAACUGGCGGACGGGUGAGUAACGCGUAGGGAUGUGCCUUUGAGUACGGAAUAACCGUUGGAAACGACGGCUAAUACCGUAUACGCCCCCAGGGGGAAAGCUCCGGCGCUCAAAGAGCAACCUGCGUCCGAUUAGCUUGUUGGUGAGGUAAUGGCUCACCAAGGCUGCGAUCGGUAGCUGGUCUGAGAGGAUGGUCAGCCACACUGGGACUGAGACACGGCCCAGACUCCUAC
rnacentral:rRNA from 1 species